UACAGAGGUCUCAAGCGUUGUUCGGAUUCAUUGGGCGUAAAGGGUGCGUAGGUGGCGCCGUAAGUCGGGUGUGAAAUUUCGGAGCUUAACUCCGAAACUGCAUUCGAUACUGCGGUGCUUGAGGACUGGAGAGGAGACUGGAAUUCAUGGUGUAGCAGUGAAAUGCGUAGAGAUCAUGAGGAAGACCAGUGGCGAAAGGCGGGUCUCUGGACAGUUUCCUGACACUGAGGCACGAAAGGGCCCAGGGAGCAACGGG
rnacentral:rRNA from 1 species